rnacentral:piRNA from 1 species
GGCAACAACAUUAUCUGCUAAAC